AGAAUUGGUCUUUUACUAAUUCAUGAUUUGCUGCUGAAAGCACGGUGGCUUCACGCGCUCCCACCCUAUCAAAUUAGAAAAUUGGGACUAAAAUGCUCGCACAAAACUAGAAUGCUGAAGCUCAUUGGCACAUGAUAUUAUUUUUACGCGGCCUGUUUUAUAUUUAACCCCCAAAGAAAAGGAAGAAUAAAAUAGACUUCCUUCUCCUGGGGGCUGCGUCAGUCACUAUUGACGUCAGGUGGAGAAUCUCCCACUUUGAAGGUGGAAGCAGGAGCCUCCGUUGUCUACUGUGGCUAAAAAGCAGCGAAGGUCCAAUGAAAAUAGCAGAGGAUAGGCUGAAGAAGACGCAGCCAACUCCUCCUCCAAACUGGAAAGGCCAUUGUUUGCUGACUGUAGUCAAACCUCUUUCAUGUCAUUGGGAGCAAAGGAGGAGCCUGCUACACACAAAUAAAAUGCAGACCCACCGGUGGCCCUCAGUGUGAUGAUGCAGAGCUACACAGGAAGGUGGAAGGCUGAUUACAGGCUGCCGCGGUCUCAGUCCUGCAGACUCCCCCUGCACAGGGCAGAAUGCUGAAACGCGUAGUAACGGAGCGGCGCUUGGCCGACCGACGAUGCUAUUUUUAACUCCCAUGCUCAACAUGCCUGGCGCUGCGGGUUUCUCUGCUCAGGGUAGCCUACUACUGCACGAGAGGCAAAACAUAAACACAGGACAUCUUCCAGGCGGAAAAGCGGGCUGGAUGUGGUUUCUCAGAACAAAAAUCCAACUAUAGAGAAAAUAAUCCUCGUCAGAUUAUGAGAUGGUUUCUUCUUUAUCAAUGUAUCUCUUUAAGAAUGAGACACUGUGUCAUUCUUUAAAGCUGCAACCUGUAGGAUUUUCAUGGCAUUACAUUUACAGGAGAUCAAACUUUUGUACCAUUGUGUACAUCUAUGUGUUCUGUUUUGAUGUUCUGUAUUAACAAUUGAUGCAUGACGGCAUGAAUUAUCAUAUAUUUUUGAUUUCUAUUCAUAUUUUUACAUUCAUAUUUAGAUUUUAUAGACGCACACACACUGCCUUCUGUUUAUAAGUAUGGUAUCCACCCACAGCUGUUAAUAGCUGAUGUUUAGUUUGACCAGUUUCAUUCCAGGAUUAUGGCACAGAAUGAGGAGCUAAAACCAACAAACAGGUCGGACUAAGAGACAAACUACAACACAACGAAGAGAGGGUUUGUGAUCAUAGAGGGAUGAUAACACGCACUCAGAGGUCUUCCAUAUGAAUACCUGAAGUUAUUGACGUAGGUUACCUUGCAGCUCUUGCACACAAUUGAUAAUGGAUGGUUUACAGACAAGGAAUUGAUGAGAUGGCUGCAAACAACAAGGUCAGCUGGUUAAUGCAGUGGAUGAGUGUCCAAAGGGAGACUCCAUCCUCACAGCUUUCAACCCAAAAAAAAGAUCAGAAUUGUUCUCUGUGUAAAUCAUUGUUAGUGCACACACAAAAAGUCAAAUAUUUUGAAUGCAAAUCCAAAGAUGUAGUCUGAAACAGUCUUGAAAGCUGCUCUGAGACGCAGAAGAAACAGAGAAGGCUCAAGUGCCAGACUUGAGUUGUGGACUCAAUUCGCAUUCACAAGUCAUGAAUUUCAUUGUUUCAGAGUUGUCGUGACAAAACAGAAAAAAGACAUAGAACUUGACUUUAACACCAAUAACUCCUGACUUCACUGAGACUUGAGCGUUUUGAAAUGAAAGACUUGAUACCCUCUUCAAGCAACUGCAGGAUCUCUUUAUGAUGUCGCAGGUCUAUCUAUACAGUCACUUUAAGUGCAAUUUCAGUACUUUUUCUGCAUACCGAUAGGUCAUCAUCAGGGUUAUCCAUGCAAAUUGUACAAAGCAUUUACAUUCAUUUGAUAUAUUACUAUCACUUUGUUUUUAGUUUCGUAAAUGGAAUACAUUUUCUUUACAGACUGGUUUAGGACUUGAAAUAGAAAGACUGUUUAGGACUCGGGAAAUACUGUAACUUGCUUGUCCUGAUCUGGUAUUUGACUUGGAAGCCGAGUGUAAAUAUUUCGGUUUUAAUUGUGACUUGAAAAAACAAUAAUUUGGUUCAGUGUUGGUGUAGGCCACAGCCAGCUCAAAAUUUACAAAAAGGACAAUGUACGUAAAGGGCCAUACCCAUCAUUUUAAUAGCAGGUCCACAGUAUAGUUUCUAGGCUAACCAAACCCACUACACCUGUGCACAUAGUCCUAAUUAUAGGAAAGUGUAAGAGAAGAUGUAAGAUGUGGUAUGUAAACAGAUUUAAAAGAAAAAACCUGAGGGGAGUGGUCUAUUCCACAAUGACAACACUGAAGGAGGAACUAUCUCAGAAGAAUGGUGUUCAUCUCUUCAGCAGAACUACAUAGACUUCAACAUCAAGGUGCACUGAAGCUUUUCUGGAAGCUUGUGGUGACCCAACACCUUUCUAAGACACUAUGUUGUUUUUUUCCUUUGGUGUUAAUGGCAGUGAAAACUAUUGUCCCCACAGGGCCAAUACAUAUUUAUUACACUGAACUGGAAAGAAAGGCCCAGAAAAUCCCUUGUGGAUACAGCCUAGCACAACAUAAGGCAUGCUGUAUAAAUGUCUAGUGAACUAGUGCAGUAUUUAGAUGAGUUCUAGCCAAAACAUAAUGGGCAAUGGUGGAGAAAAUUUGCUGCCUCACUGGUCUCAUACUUCACGGUAUGGACGUUGAGAUCUUCAGAUGCACAUCUUCAACCGCAAACACAAAAAUCCAGAUUAGAACUCGCCAGAGACUGUCCAUUUAUUCUAUUCAUAAAAACGUAUGCUAUUUUACUGUGGUGUGUAUAUAUCCAGACUUAAUAAAAUAAGAAUUUCCAUGUGCGUAUCAAAAUACUUGUACUGCCUACUUAACAUGCUGCUAAAGCCAACUGCAACUUAAUGUCAUACAUAUUCUCUAUUGACUUUCUUGUUCUACACUUUCUUGUUUAUAUUCUGCGUAUGUGUGAUUACAGUAUAUUCUGUGUUCUCCUUCCGGUUAUAUACCAUUUUUAUUUGUUGAAGCAAUAAACUGUAAUUUUCUUCUGAUAUCUAGAAAAUUCACCAUAUCUUACAUAUCCUGUCUCAAAUCAAGUCCAGUAUUCACUGUAUUGUACUGUAUAAUACAACAAACAAACGCUUGUAAGUCUACACCAUUAACGAGAGACAGCCUCAUUCAAAUAAACUGACUUUCUUUCA